rnacentral:pre_miRNA from 11 species
UUGUUCUUGAAAGACCCCCGAAGGGAGACCCUCGCUCAAAUCUUGGGAAUAGUGCGCACCCAGUGAGGCACCGAGACCG